GACGAACGCUGGCGGCGUGCCUAAUACAUGCAAGUUGAGCGCUGAAGGUUGGUACUUGUACCGACUGGAUGAGCAGCGAACGGGUGAGUAACGCGUGGGGAAUCUGCCUUUGAGCGGGGGACAACAUUUGGAAACGAAUGCUAAUACCGCAUAAAAACUUUAAACACAAGUUUUAAGUUUGAAAGAUGCAAUUGCAUCACUCAAAGAUGAUCCCGCGUUGUAUUAGCUAGUUGGUGAGGUAAAGGCUCACCAAGGCGAUGAUACAUAGCCGACCUGAGAGGGGGAUUGGCCAACAUGGGAACUGGAACAGGCCCAAACCCCUAACGGAGGACGCAGGAGGGGAAUUUUGGGAAAUGAAGGAAGGCCGGACGAGAAAAGCCGGGGGAGGGGAGGAGGGUUUCGGGUUGUUAAAACCCGGUGGUUAGGAAGAACGGUGGUGGGAGGGGAAAGCUCAUUAAGUGGCGGUAACUACCCAGAAAGGGACGGCUAACUACGUG
rnacentral:rRNA from 1 species